rnacentral:lncRNA from 1 species
ACACUGCAGGCUGGUGCGCCACGCCCUGCGCCUACUUCUGCGCGGGGAUCAUGUCGUCGAUGGACUGGCCCUUUUCCAGCUUCUUCUCCAUCUCCACCAUAAGCUUCACGCCAUCCACCACCAGCUGCACCUGUUCGACUUCGGAUGAGCCCAGCCGAUCGGCGUUGGAGAUGUCGAACACGGCGCCCACCGCAGCCGUGUCCACGCCACCUGCGCGGGAGCAAACGCCACAGAGGCAUUGGACAGGGAGCAGAGGUGCAGGUAGAGAAUCUGAGCCGCCAAUAGAGGAUCGGGGAUGUUCGCCAGCUUCACGUGCACGCCUCCGCGCAGCCCGGUGCCCAGGUUGGAGGGGCAGGUGAGCACGUAGCCCAGGUGCUCGUUCCACAUGAAGGGGUGACCAGCCUUCUUGAAGAUCUCCUCAAUCUGAGAAAGGGAGAGGACACCAGGAAUUGGACUCCAAAGGCAGUCUGGGGCCCACGCAGAAGCGGCGGAAAACCUCCUUCAUAUUGCCUCCCUUCUCCAUGGAGAUCACGCGGAGGUGGUCCUCCUCGUUCACCCACACAAGGAAGCUUUUGUUGUCGUUGUGCCUAAGAAGGGGUGACCCAAGACCAAGAAGUCAGCAGGAGCCCCAAUGGCCCAAGAAAGUAAACGCAUGACUUUGUUCAUAGCUGCUCCCUUUGGGCUCCAGGGGACAGACACGGGCACACUGGCUUCCCAGUCACAACUCCACGAAACUUCGGAGCAGAGAACAGGGACUUUGAUGGGCCCAAGUCCCUGAAAACCUUCAGUCUUACUUGACCCCUCCCCUGCAGGCACCCAGAAGACUGAGGUGUAAAGACCUUGAGUUCGAGGUCAGCUUCGGGUUCAGGGGCGUUGUAUACCUCCUGUGACCACAGGUCCUACACCCAAUGUUAUAUCCCCUUGGAUCCCAAGAUUCUCCUUUCGGAUUUGCAUCCCAGGGUUCUGAGAGUUCAGCAAUCUUCAGUUUUUUAAAAUUAUCAUUAAUGUAACAAUUUUAAUUAUUUUUUGUUCAGAAAGGGAGGGGUCUUGGCUGCCAUUGAACUGGUAAUUCCCCUGCCUCAGGCUCUGCAGUAUGAUGAUUGCAGGCGUGCACCACCAAGCCUGGAUGAUUUAUUAUUACUGCUGCUGCUGCUGUUGUUGUUGUUGUAUUUUCAUAUGUGUAUUUUGUUGUACAAUGCAUUUUGUUGUUGUUGUUGUUGUUGUUGUUUUAAGACAGGGUUUCUCUGUGUAGCCCUGGCUGUCCUGAAACUCACUUUGUAGAUCAGGCUGGCCUCAAUCUCAGAGACCCAUCUGUCUCUGCCUCCUGAGUGCUGAGAUUAAAUGUGUGUGCCACUACCACCUGGCCUUGUACAAUGGAUUUUUAGAAAGAUGGUCUUUGUUGGCCAGAGUGGUUCCUGACAUCAAGUGACCCUCCUGCCUUAGGAGUCCGGAGUAGCUGAUACUGCAGGAAUGUAUGGUCAUAUACCUAGUAACAGCUGGGGUUUGAAUCCAGAGAGUAUAAAGUUCCAGUAUCAAUGUUUUAUUUUAUUUUAUUUGCCAUAAUAAGGAUUAAAUCUGGGCACUAUGCAUGCCAGGCAGAUUCUCUCCAUCUGAGCCACGCCCCCAGCCCUCUCUGGGGGAUUCUAGGCAGGGGCUCUACCACUGAGCCACGCCCCCAGCCCCUCACUGGGGGAUUCUAGGCAAGGGCACUACCACUGAGCCACGCCCCCAGUCCCUCACUAAGGGAUUCUAGGCAAGGGCACUACCACUGAGCCACGCCCCCAGCCCUCUCUGGGGGAUUCUAGGCAGGGACUCUACCACUGAGCCACACCCCCAGACCCUCACUGGGUGAUUCUAGGCAGGGGCUCUCCCACUGAGCCACACCCCCAGACCCUCACUGGGGGAUUCUAGGCAGGGGCUCUACCACUGAGCCACAACUCCAUCUCCAGCUCUCUGUUCAGUUCUUGUUUUGAGGCUAAGCUGGUCUCAAAUUCACUGUAGUCUGGUUGGCCCUGAGCUCAGGACCUCCUUCCAGGCCUAUGCCACAGAUCUAAGAUAAUUUCAUUACACUUCCUUGAUUCAAGUUUUCUAAACUAUGACACCUGCCCAGGGAUAGGCAGGGUUAGAAGGCAGUGGGACCGUAAAAGGCAGCCUGUUUUCUGGUUGAACGAGGUUUAAACCCCUGAGACCCAGCAGAUAACUCUGCAAGAGACGGAAGGAAGUUUUCCAUGCUCCCAGACACUAGGCUCCUGACACAAGGCCCCAGCUCCAUAAUUUUGUGGCAUCAUCAGUCACGUCGGGUAACACCCCAAGCCCCUGGUAUUCUGUCUGGACUCCACUUCUAGUUACCUGGCAACAGCCAGGUAUGCCUGGCCCACUGUAAAAGGGGCUGCUUGACCCCUCCUCCCUCUCUUACUUCUGCUUCCAGCUUGCUUCUCUCUCUCUCUCUUGCUCCCUGCCUCUCUGCAUUCUCUUCCUCCCUCUCUCCACCUGCCAUGGCCAACCUCUACUUCUCUACUCUCUCCCUCUCUCUGCCUUUCUACAAUAAACACUUUAAAGC